GACGAACGCUGGCGGCGUGCUUAACACAUGCAAGUCGAACGGAAAGGCCCUGCGUUUGUGGGUUUCUCGAUUGGCGAACGGGUGAGUAACACGUGAGUAACCUGCCCUUGACUUUGUGAUAACUUCAGGAAACUGGGGCUAAUACCGGAUAGGAUCUCCUGCUGCAUGGUGGGGGUUGGAAAGUUUCGGCGGUUGGGGAUGGUCUCGCGGCUUAUCAGCUUGUUUGUGGGGUAGUGGCUUACCAAGCCUUUGACGGGUAGCCGGCCUGGGAGGGUUACCAGCCACAUUGGGACUGAGAUACGGCCCAGACUCCUACGGGAGGCAGCAGUGGGAAGUAUUACACAAUGGGGGGAAGCCAGAUGCAGCAACGCCGCGUGCGGAAUGCCGGCUUUCGGGUUGUAAACCGAUUUCGCCUGUGCCGAAGAGUGAGUGACGGUAAUGGGUAAAGAAGCACCGGCUAACUACGUG
rnacentral:rRNA from 1 species